rnacentral:rRNA from 1 species
UACGGAGGAUGCGAGCGUUAUCCGGAUUUAUUGGGUUUAAAGGGUGCGUAGGCGGAUCGUUAAGUCAGUGGUCAAAUUGAGGGGCUCAACCCCUUCCCGCCAUUGAAACUGGCGAUCUUGAGUGGAAGAGAAGUAUGCGGAGUGCGUGGUGUAGCGGUGAAAUGCAUAGAUAUCACGCAGAACCCCGAUUGCGAAGGCAGCAUGCCGGCUUCCGACUGACGCUGAAGCACGAAAGCGUGGGGAUCAAACAGG